UAUAAAAAAUGUUAAAGUUGUUAUAACUUUGGUAUGCUUGGACCUAGAGUCUUGAAACUUGACAUGAAGGUUGGCCAUAACUAGUUAGUAACCACUGGUCAUUUCAAGGUCAUUCAUUUGAAGGUCAAGGUCACUGUGACCUUGAAUGUAAAAAUGUUAAAGUUCUUAUUUCAUGGUAUAACUUUGGUAUGCUUGGACCUAGAGUCUUCAAACUUGACAUGAAGGUUGGCCAGGAUUAACAGAUGACCACUGGUCAUUUCAAGGUCAUUCAUUUGAAGGUCAAGGUCACUGUGACCUUGAAUGUAAAAAUGGUAAAGUUCUUAUUUCAUGUUAUAACUUUGGUAUGCUUGUACCUAGAGUCUUCAAACUUGAAAUAAAGAUUGGCCAGUACUAGAAGAUGACCACUGGUCAUUUCAAUGUCAUUCAUUUGAAGGUCAAGGUCACUGUGACCUUAAAUGUUAAAAUGUUAAAAUUGUUAUAACUUUGGUA